UACGGAGGGUGCAAGCGUUAUCCGGAAGUUCACUGGGUUUAAAGGGUGCGUAGGCGGGUAUAUAAGUCAGUGGAUGAAAGCUCCGGGCUUAACUUGGAACUGCCAUUGAUACUGUAUAUCUUGAAUGUCGUUGAGGUAAGCGGAAAUGUUGCAUGUAGCGGUGAAAUGCUUAGAUAUGUUACAGAACACCAAUUGUGAAGACAGCUUACUAAGCGAUAAAUUGACGUGGAGGCAACGAAAGCGUGGGGAGCAAACAG
rnacentral:rRNA from 1 species